rnacentral:tRNA from 1 species
GCCGGUGUGCCCGAGUGGCAAGGGGCCGGCCUGCAAAGCCGGAUUUCAGGGGUUCGACUCCCCUCACCGGCU